GACGAACGCUGGCGGCGUGCUUAGCACAUGCAAGUCGAACGGAAAGGCCCUGCUUUUGUGGGGUGCUCGAGUGGCGAACGGGUGAGUAACACGUGAGUAACCUGCCCUUGACUUUGGGAUAACUUCAGGAAACUGGGGCUAAUACCGGAUAGGAGCUCCUGCUGCAUGGUGGGGGUUGGAAAGUUUCGGCGGUUGGGGAUGGACUCGCGGCUUAUCAGCUUGUUGGUGGGGUAGUGGCUUACCAAGGCUUUGACGGGUAGCCGGCCUGAGAGGGUGACCGGCCACAUUGGGACUGAGAUACGGCCCAGACUCCUACGGGAGGCAGAAGUGGGGAAUAGUGCACAAUGGGCGGAAGCCUGAUGCAGCAACGCCGCGUGCGGGAUGACGGCCUUCGGGUUGUAAACCGCUUUCGCCUGUGACGAAGCGUGAGUGACGGUAAUGGGUAAAGAAGCACCGGCUAACUACGUG
rnacentral:rRNA from 1 species